rnacentral:rRNA from 1 species
UACGAAGGGGGCGAGCGUUGUUCGGAAUCACUGGGCGUAAAGGGCGCGUAGGCGGCCAGAUUUGUCGAGUGUGAAAGCCCCGGGCUCAACCUGGGAACGGCGCUCGAGACGGUUUGGCUUGAGGUUGGGAGAGGAGAGUGGAAUUCCCAGUGUAGAGGUGAAAUUCGUAGAUAUUGGGAAGAACACCGGUGGCGAAGGCGGCUCUCUGGACCGACCCUGACGCUGAGGCGCGAAAGCGUGGGGAGCAAACAGGAUUAGAUACCCUGGUAGUCCACGCGGUAAACGAUGUGUGCUAGACGUUGGGGAGCAUAGCUCUUCGGUGUCGCAGCCAACGCGGUAAGCACACCGCCUGGGGAGUACGGCCGCAAGGUUAAAACUCAAAG